CCCUUAGAUGUCCUGGGCCGCACGCGCGUUACACUGAUGCAUUCAACGAGCUUAUAACCUUGGCCGAGAGGCCUGGGCAAUCUUGUUAACGUGCAUCGUGAUAGGGAUAGAUUAUUGAAAUUAUUAAUCUUGAACGAGGAAUUCCUAGUAAACGCAGAUCAUCAAUCUGCAUUGAUUACGUCCCUGCCCUUUGUACACACCGCCCGUCGCACCUACCGAUUGGAUGGUCCGGUGAAGCCUCGGGAUUGUGGUUCUUGCCGCUUUAUUGUGGCGUGACCGCGAGAACUUGUCUAAACCUUAUCAUCUAGAGGAAGGUGCAGUCGUAACA
rnacentral:rRNA from 1 species